AUUGAACGCUGGCGGCAUGCCUUACACAUGCAAGUCGAACGGCAGCACGGGUGCUUGCACCUGGUGGCGAGUGGCGAACGGGUGAGUAAUACAUCGGAACAUGUCCUGUAGUGGGGGAUAGCCCGGCGAAAGCCGGAUUAAUACCGCAUACGAACUACGGAUGAAAGCGGGGGGCCUUCGGGCCUCGCGCUAUAGGGUUGGCCGAUGGCUGAUUAGCUAGUUGGUGGGGGAAAGGCCUACCAAGGCGACGAUCAGUAGCUGGUCUGAGAGGACGACCAGCCACACUGGGACUGAGACACGGCCCAGACUCCUACGGGAGGCAGCAGUGGGGAAUUUUGGGCAAAGGGCGAAAGCCUGAUCCAGCAAUGCCGCGUGUGGGAAGAAGGCCUUCGGGUUGUAAAGCACUUUUGUCCGGAAAGAAAUCCUUGGCCCUAAUACGGUCGGGGGAUGACGGUACCGGAAUAAUAAGCACCGGCUAACUACGUG
rnacentral:rRNA from 1 species